rnacentral:rRNA from 1 species
CGGAAGGCCCUUCGGGGUACUCGAGCGGCGAACGGGUGAGUAACACGUGAGUAACCUGCCCCUGACUCUGGGAUAAGCCCGGGAAACUGGGUCUAAUACCGGAUACGACACCUCCUGGCAUCGGGUGGGUGUGGAAAGUUUUUUCGGUUGGGGAUGGACUCGCGGCCUAUCAGCUUGUUGGUGGGGUAAUGGCCUACCAAGGCGACGACGGGUAGCCGGCCUGAGAGGGCGACCGGCCACACUGGGACUGAGACACGGCCCAGACUCCUACGGGAGGCAGCAGUGGGGAAUAUUGCGCAAUGGGCGAAAGCCUGACGCAGCGACGCCGCGUGGGGGAUGACGGCCUUCGGGUUGUAAACCUCUUUCAGCAGGGACGAAGUUGACGUGUACCUGCAGAAGAAGCGCCGGCUAACUACGUGCCAGCAGCCGCGGUAAUACGUAGGGCGCAAGCGUUGUCCGGAAUUAUUGGGCGUAAAGAGCUCGUAGGUGGCUUGUCACGUCGGGUGUGAAAGCUUGGGGCUUAACUCCAGGUCUGCAUUCGAUACGGGCUGGCUAGAGGUAGGUAGGGGAGAACGGAAUUCCUGGUGUAGCGGUGAAAUGCGCAGAUAUCAGGAGGAACACCGGUGGCGAAGGCGGUUCUCUGGGCCUUACCUGACGCUGAGGAGCGAAAGCGUGGGGAGCGAACAGGAUUAGAUACCCUGGUAGUCCACGCUGUAAACG